UUUGUACUCCCUCCGUCCCAAAAUUGUUGUCUUAAAUUUGUCUAAAUACGAAUGUAUCUAGUUACAUUUUAGUGUCAGAUACAUCCGUAUCUAAACAAAUGUAAGACAAGAAUUUUGGGAUGGAGGGAAUACUAC
rnacentral:pre_miRNA from 1 species